ACAUGCAAGUCGAACGGUAACAGAGAGCAGCUUGCUGCUCUGCUGACGAGUGGCGGACGGGUGAGUAAUGUCUGGGAAACUGCCUGAUGGAGGGGGAUAACUACUGGAAACGGUAGCUAAUACCGCAUAACGUCUACGGACCAAAGUGGGGGACCUUCGGGCCUCAUGCCAUCAGAUGUGCCCAGAUGGGAUUAGCUAGUAGGUGGGGUAACGGCUCACCUAGGCGACGAUCCCUAGCUGGUCUGAGAGGAUGACCAGCCACACUGGAACUGAGACACGGUCCAGACUCCUACGGGAGGCAGCAGUGGGGAAUAUUGCACAAUGGGCGCAAGCCUGAUGCAGCCAUGCCGCGUGUAUGAAGAAGGCCUUCGGGUUGUAAAGUACUUUCAGCGGGGAGGAAGGCGUUGUGGUUAAUAACCACAGCGAUUGACGUUACCCGCAGAAGAAGCACCGGCUAACUCCGUGCCAGCAGCCGCGGUAAUACGGAGGGUGCAAGCGUUAAUCGGAAUUACUGGGCGUAAAGCGCACGCAGGCGGUCUGUUAAGUCAGAUGUGAAAUCCCCGGGCUCAACCUGGGAACUGCAUUUGAAACUGGCAGGCUUGAGUCUCGUAGAGGGGGGUAGAAUUCCAGGUGUAGCGGUGAAAUGCGUAGAGAUCUGGAGGAAUACCGGUGGCGAAGGCGGCCCCCUGGACGAAGACUGACGCUCAGGUGCGAAAGCGUGGGGAGCAAACAGGAUUAGAUACCCUGGUAGUCCACGCCGUAAACGAUGUCGACUUGGAGGUUGUGCCCUUGAGGCGUGGCUUCCGGAGCUAACGCGUUAAGUCGACCGCCUGGGGAGUACGGCCGCAAGGUUAAAACUCAAAUGAAUUGACGGGGGCCCGCACAAGCGGUGGAGCAUGUGGUUUAAUUCGAUGCAACGCGAAGAACCUUACCUGGUCUUGACAUCCAGAGAAUCCAGCAGAGAUGCGGGAGUGCCUUCGGGAACUCUGAGACAGGUGCUGCAUGGCUGUCGUCAGCUCGUGUUGUGAAAUGUUGGGUUAAGUCCCGCAACGAGCGCAACCCUUAUCCUUUGUUGCCAGCGGUCCGGCCGGGAACUCAAAGGAGACUGCC
rnacentral:rRNA from 1 species